rnacentral:lncRNA from 1 species
AAAGAUGUACAAUUUAGAGUUUAGUCCUACCUAUCAUACUAAAAAUGUACAACAAAUUUUUCACAUCACACCACAAGACUUUAGUCAAGAGAACUAAGAAAAAUACUCAUAAAUGUAACUCAAAAACCAAAGGAAAAAGCAUGCAAUUUUUUUUAUUUUUUUAUUUAUUUAAGGAAGCAAACAAAAACCAAAAACUGAGAAAAACUGAAAACAAAAUAAAAACAAAAACUAAAACAGAGAAACUGAAAACAAAAUAAAGAAAAAAAAC